CCUACGGGUGGCAGCAGUGGGGAAUAUUGGACAAUGGGGGCAACCCUGAUCCAGCCAUGCCGCGUGUGUGAAGAAGGCCCUCGGGUUGUAAAGCGCUUUCAGUGAGGAAGAACGCCUGGUGGUUAAUACCCAUCAGGAAAGACAUCACUCACAGAAGAAGCACCGGCUAACUCCGUGCCAGCAGCCGCGGUAAUACGGAGGGUGCGAGCGUUAAUCGGAAUUACUGGGCGUAAAGCGCGCGUAGGUGGCUUGAUAAGCCGGUUGUGAAAGCCCCGGGCUCAACCUGGGAACGGCAUCCGGAACUGUCAAGCUAGAGUGCAGGAGAGGAAGGUAGAAUUCCCGGUGUAGCGGUGAAAUGCGUAGAGAUCGGGAGGAAUACCAGUGGCGAAGGCGGCCUUCUGGACUGACACUGACACUGAGGUGCGAAAGCGUGGGUAGCAAACAGGAUUAGAUACCCCAGUAGUC
rnacentral:rRNA from 1 species